ACGCUCGACACCUACGGAGGCAGCAGUGGGGAAUAUUGCACAAUGGGGGAAACCCUGAUGCAGCGACGCCGCGUGAGUGAAGAAGUAAUUCGUUAUGUAAAGCUCUAUCAGCAGGGAAGAAAGUGACGGUACCUGAGUAAGAAGCCCCGGCUAACUACGUACCAGCAGCCGCGGUAAUCUGAGCGGGCUGGCAAGGC
rnacentral:rRNA from 1 species